rnacentral:rRNA from 1 species
CCUACGGGAGGCAGCAGUGGGGAAUAUUGGACAAUGGGCGAAAGCCUGAUCCAGCCAUGCCGCGUGUGUGAAGAAGGCCUUCGGGUUGUAAAGCACUUUCAGUGGGGAAGAAAGCCUUGGGGCUAAUACCCUCGAGGAAGGACAUCACCCACAGAAGAAGCACCGGCUAACUCCGUGCCAGCAGCCGCGGUAAUACGGAGGGGUGCGAGCGUUAAUCGGAAUUACUGGGCGUAAAGGCGCGUAGGCGGUCUGAUAAGCCGGUUGUGAAAGCCCCGGGCCCAACCUGGGAACGGCAUCCGGAACUGUCAGGCUAGAGUGCAGGAGAGGAAGGUAGAAUUCCCGGUGUAGCGGUGAAAUGCGUAGAGAUCGGGAGGAAUACCAGUGGCGAAGGCGGCCUUCUGGACUGACACUGACGCUGAGGUGCGAAAGCGUGGGUAGCAAACAGGAUUAGAUACCCCAGUAGUC